GGAUUGCAGUGGGCUUUUCUGGGUGCUAAGAGAGGUUUCAGAGAUUAUCUUGCUUUUUUAUUUAAAUUAGCAAGUUAAUUCGAAAGUGAAGAAGCUUUUAUAAGAAUUUGGGACAAGAAGACCCCAUGAAUUUUUUCGGAGGUUAUUUUUUGCAUUUGUUUGGAAGAUGGAAUUUGAGUAAUUUUUGAUUGAUUGGGGCGAUUUUUAAAUUUAGGUAACUUUAAAAGUGUUUUAUUGGAUCCAAUAUUAUUGAUAGGUUGAAUAAAAUACUCUAGGGAUAACAGCGUUAUUACUUUGGAUAGUUCAUAUAGAUAAAGUAGAUUGCGACCUCGAUGUUGGAUUAGGAUACCUUUACUAAUGAAGAAGUGAAUAGGGGGUUG
rnacentral:rRNA from 1 species